rnacentral:rRNA from 1 species
AUUGAACGCUGGCGGCAGGCCUAACACAUGCAAGUCGAGCGAGCGGCGGACGGGUGAGUACUGUCUGGGAAACUGCCUGAUGGAUUGGGAUAACUACUGGAAACGGUAGCUAAUACCGCAUACCAUCAGAUGUGCCCAGUUGGGAUUAGCUAGUAGGUGGGGUAACGGCUCACCUAGGCGACGAUCCCUAGCUGUUCUGAGAGGAUGACCAGCCACACUGGAACUGAGACACGGUCCAGACUCCUACGGGAGGCAGCAGUGGGGAAUAUGGCGCAAUGGGCGCAAGCCUGAUGCAGCCAAGCCGCGUGUGUGAAGAAGGCCUUCGGGUUGUAAAGCACUGUCAGCGGGGAGGCGGUACCCGCAGAAGAAGCACCGGCUAACUCCGUGCCAGCAGCCGCGGUAAUUC